GCCAGACUCCUACGGGAGGCAGCAGUGGGGGAUAUUGCACAAUGGGGGGAACCCUGAUGCAGCGACGCCGCGUGGGUGAAGGAGCGUUUCGGCGCGUAAAGCCCUAUCGGCAGGGAAGAAGGAGGACGGUACCUGACUAAGAAGCCCCGGCUAACUACGUGCCAGCAGCCGUGGUAAUACGUAGGGAGCAAGCGUUAUCCGGAAUUAUUGGGUGUAAAGGGUGCGUAGACGGGAUAACAAGUUGGUUGUGAAACCCCUCGGCUCAACUGAGGAACUGCAACCAAAACUAUUAUUCUUGAGUGCAGGAGAGGAAAGUGGAAUUCCUAGUGUAGCGGUGAAAUGCGUAGAUAUUAGGAAGAACACCGGUGGCGAAGGCGACUUUCUGGACUGUAACUGACGUUGAGGCACGAAAGUGUGGGGAGCAAACAGGAUUAGAUACCCCUGUA
rnacentral:rRNA from 1 species